GCCGAUGUAGCUCCAACGGCAGAGCAACUCAUUCGUAAUGAGUAGGCUGCUGGUUCGAAUCCAGUCAUCGGCACCA
rnacentral:tRNA from 1 species